rnacentral:lncRNA from 1 species
UCAUUUGUCAUCAUAGUAUGAGCUAGCUGUUGAAACUUUGUUGUUCUCUGAAAUGAUAUAUGUCAUGCAGUCAUGUAGUUCUUUUAGAUUUUGAAUGAAGCCAUUGGUAAAUAAAACAGUUCUUGAGUUUUGCUAUCCAUGUUCAAUCAGGUAACUUCAAAUGAUGUCACAGUAAUUGUCCAAUAGCUAAAUGCUGUUGUUUCUUUAUGUCAUGUCACGUGAUUUCAUUUCGAACAUCAGUAUGCCUGACAUUUUGUAUGUGCCAUAUUUACAUCAGCAUAUUGGUGCUGCAUUUUAUGCCUGUGAGAUCCAGUCUUAAUGGCAGUUUAUGCAACUUUAUGUUAGGUCAGUCAGCGAAUAUAAAAAUUCAUAAAAAAUUUAAAAAAUCAUCUAAACCCAAUAAAAAAUGCAAAAUUACAUAAAAAUAAAUGUUAAAACAUGC